GAAAUGAGCACACGAUGUGAGGACGACUCGGUUGAUGUUUAUGAUGGUGGUAAACGGAUUGGUCGAUAUUGCGGUAUAAGUUAUCCAACCUUCAUUCAGUCAACUACAAACCACCUUUCAGUGCUGUUUCGAUCAGACGCGAAGACCAUUCGUACAGGGUUUUUGGCGCGAUACCGAUUCCUGAAAGAUAAUGACACAAACAAAGACUGUUUACAAG